GGGAUCAGAAGGUCUGAUGCAGCUGAUGACUGCAGCCAGCACCAAAAUGUGGAAACAGCUUUAUUUAUGAAGUAUCUUUAACAAGGCUUCUUACCAGCAUGGUGGAUAGUUUCCAGGGGCAAGAGUCUCAAGAAAGAAAGCCAGUUAUAAAUUCCUAUUUAUUUGUUCGAGUCAAACAAGUCAGAGAAGACUGCUCCAGAUUUCCAGAAAGAACGACA